AUUGAACGCUGGCGGCAGGCCUAACACAUGCAAGUCGAGCGGAUGAAGGGAGCUUGCUCCUGGAUUCAGCGGCGGACGGGUGAGUAAUGCCUAGGAAUCUGCCUGGUAGUGGGGGAUAACGUCCGGAAACGGGCGCUAAUACCGCAUACGUCCUGAGGGAGAAAGUGGGGGAUCUUCGGACCUCACGCUAUCAGAUGAGCCUAGGUCGGAUUAGCUAGUUGGUGGGGUAAAGGCCUACCAAGGCGACGAUCCGUAACUGGUCUGAGAGGAUGAUCAGUCACACUGGAACUGAGACACGGUCCAGACUCCUACGGGAGGCAGAAGUGGGGAAUAUUGGACAAUGGGCGAAAGCCUGAUCCAGCCAUGCCGCGUGUGUGAAGAAGGUCUUCGGAUUAUAAAGCACUUUAAGUUGGGAGGAAGGGCAGUAAGUUAAUACCUUGCUGUUUUGACGUUACCAACAGAAUAAGCACCGGCUAACUUCGUG
rnacentral:rRNA from 1 species